rnacentral:rRNA from 1 species
GACGAACGCUGGCGGCGUGCUUAACACAUGCAAGUCGAGCGGUAAGGCCCUUUCGGGGGUACACGAGCGGCGAACGGGUGAGUAACACGUGGGUGACCUGCCCUCAGCUCUGGGAUAAGCCUGGGAAACUGGGUCUAAUACCGGAUAUGACUCCAUGACGCAUGUUGGUGGGGUGGAAAGCCUUGUGCGGCUGGGGGAUGGGCCCGCGGCCUAUCAGCUUGUUGGUGGGGUGAUGGCCUACCAAGGCGACGACGGGUAGCCGGCCUGAGAGGGCGACCGGCCACACUGGGACUGAGACACGGCCCAGACUCCUACGGGAGGCAGCAGUGGGGAAUCUUGCGCAAUGGGCGAAAGCCUGACGCAGCGACGCCGCGUG